UUCUCCCAUGUUUGCUCAAGAUCUGGCUGCUCGCGUUCGAGCUCGAUCACUUCGCCUCUCUGUUCUAUGAGGUACUUGUGAUUUGUUCCUCUUCUUUUCGUUCUUGUUUCUCGAUUUGAGAUUGUCGACGCGCCCAAUAGAGCCUUUCUGAUGUGCUAAGAACAACAUGAUCGGUGAGUCCAGAAAGAAGGGGGAAAUGGAUGGAAAUCGUCACAUCUGAUAUUUCUGAACCGCAUCCAGGGAAAAGACGAACUCUUUCUGAGACUUGGCCAAGCAAUCAACGAACCAAGGUAAAAUCUUGCUUUUUGACGGGUUCUGCAAGGUUCUUCAUCUCAAUGCUCUGUGAUUUGUUUAUGUCAUUGGCUAUUCUAAUCGUUGGUGAAGGCACCCACCCCCACCAAAUAGGAAUGUGACUUCUAUAACAUGAUCUUGAAUACUUGGAUGAUUUUUCUGGACGGAAAGAUGCAAUGCCACCUAUGUUUCAUAUAAUGUGCGAUAUGAACCCUUCCAUUUUGAGUGGAAUAUAUAAUACAUGUAAUGCUUGGAUGUUAUGCUACAUUAGUUUGUUCAUGAGAUUGCUGUGCACAGGUCGGAGAUCGGGGAUAUCCAACCCAGUAGCUCACUGAAGUUGCAGUCAGGUUGAUAUGUUCUCGAUGGAAAUCGUGGAGGUAAUUUGACUCUCAGGCUAUAUUAUUUGAACAUUUCCAUCCUAUUUUUCAAAUGCCAUAUCCAAAAAUUACUUACCUUUAUUUGUUUUUUAAUUAUUGUUUUAGUAGUUGUAUUGCAUUUACCCUAUAUAUUGACUGUUAAAUGACAUCCUGAUGUUUCAUAUAUUUAGUACUGAUCAAUGCUAGAGAAAUUGAACAGCUGAACCUUUUAAAAUAGCACCAACAGGACUAUAAGAAACUUGAAACUGCAUUAGAAACCGAACCAAAAAUGCAGACUUUUGUUUCAUGUGAUACAAUGGUCUGUUUUGUAUGAUAAAAUGGUUUCGUUUUGUCGGAAAAAAGAGCUCCCAGAUCGAUUGAUUAUAUUUCCAUCUAAAUUUGGAUAAAAUUGAAACUGCACAAACCCGUAGCACAAAGAUGACAUGAUGGUGGCAACCAUAUUAGUUAACAUUCUGUAUGAUGAGGAGGAAGAAGUUAUAGUUCUAGCAAUUAUCAUUUUUUAAGGUCUACCACACCCAUGAGAUAUAUAAAUGUUGAGCCAAUGUCAGAGGUUUGACCAAAGGGGAAGGAAAUUGAUGAAAAUGGAUAUGCGGACGAUGAAAUUUUUAACGAUGACAAGGUAUAACAAAUGGAGGUGAUCAUAAUUAAAUACAAAAAUAUGUCUAUGAAGAGAAUAACUGAGAUGGAAUAGAACUAGUUCACAUACAGACAACCAUAAAAACAGGUAUGAGAUGUUAGGCAAAUGAGAUACAAGAAGUGACUUUUAGUACAGACUUGUACCUGGUGUGAUGAACAUUAAUUUCAGAAGAUAGAUACAUGGCUGAAACUUUUGGAGCAUUUUAAUCUCAGAUCAAUAUACCAGGAAAAAUACUAAUAAUCUACCAAAAGAUCUGCAGUUUCGGAAGUCUUAAGUUCUAGCAAUAAUUACUGAGAAGAAACACAAAAGCCAUGUUCAAUGCCACAAAAUCAUUAGAGAUGGAACUAUUUUUCUGAUUUCUUUUAUUUAUUGGCCAUGGAACCUCUAUCUUCUGCUCCAAAGCCUCAUUGUGCAACAAGUCUUCCAUCCUUCCUGAGAAGGCAUUACUUUUAAGAAAAUAUCCAAGAUAGUACGUCAAUUGAUAGUUCGACAGACAAGAGCAAAAACUUGUGUCAAACUAUGACACAAAUAAACAUGAGUUAGCAGUUUUUUCCACAGAAAAAACUAAGGGACAGAUUGAUGAUACCUUCUCCAAUCUAUUUAUAUAUAUAUAAUUUCUUUAAAGUAUCAAAUUAAGGAACUAUGCAUCAAACGUGAGGCACUUUUGCACCAAGCAGGCACAGUUUUGUCUUGGACUAUUUGUUGUGGUUAUCGUCACUCUUGUGACUCUAAAACUUCAAUUUUCUACUUUUAUUUGGACCAGUAAAUCAUGAGUAAAAUUGGUAAGUCUUGGCUUGAAUAAUGAGUUUCCUUAAUCCACCAAUUUGAGCCAAAAUCAUCAGUGUUACUCCAAGUAUGAUGCAGAUCUGAAGAGUGCAAAAAGAUCAGCAUAAUUUUAUAAAAUGCGCUUCAGAUGCAAUAGAUUUAAGGGAACUCACUUACCCAAUUAAUCAUCCAAGGCAUGCCGAACCUUCUUGGAUUGUACAUGGAAAGCCACGUUAUGCAAGGAAGCUGCAUAAUAAUUCAUGAGAUCCAUUUGGUGAAUUUUGCACAGCACUCAAAUGCAAUUAGUUGGGUUCAUGAAUGCUUUCAAUGAUUGGUCAGAGACAAUUGUCUGCUGAAUGAAAAAAGAAAAAGAAUUGUUCAUGAGUUAAUUGAGCUCGCAAUGUUGUUGGGGCAAAAGCAAAACCUCCCAAAAAAAUCCGAAGUAGUGCACUGAAGAAGGGAAAGGUUAUAGCAAUGAACAUUGUAAAUGCUGAAAAAACAGUUAGCAGAUAUUAGUAUGCAAAUAAAAUAGAAAUACUGAUAUGGCCAAAAUCAAGCAGACAUUACUAACAUAAGCUGUUCGUGCAAUUUAGUGAAUAACUAGAUUCGAUGGUUUGGGGGUUUUCUAGCUCUGUAAUGUGGUGUGGAGUGUCAACCAGCAUAGCACCCAGGAGCUAUCCGGGUGGCAUAUGAUUAGAUGGGCCUUUGGGGUAGUGUUUAGGGCUAGUUCGCUGUUUUGAUUCAUAGUAGUGUCAUAUAGGCACUUAUGGGGAUUUUUGGCUAUGACGGACUAUCUUAGACCUUUUGCCAUGCAAUUGUUCAGAGCCUUCGAAUUCUAUAUUUUUUAUUUGCAUUGCCUAUCAAGUGUUUGUUGAAAUGACUGCUUGUUUGAUCUCGAGUUAAACACUUUAUUUAACAUGUCUUCUCUUUUGUUGGUUCUUAAGGGACCAUAAGAGGUUUCAGGGAGAUUGACCCUUUUGCGGACGGACACACAAAGGUGUCAUACGACUUAGACAAAACCAGCUAAGUCCAUGAUAGAUGGUAUCGGAGCGGGACAAGCACACAUAGAAACACUUGACAUACAAAUAUGGAGGACCUAACAGGACUGCUUUGAGGGUAGCCAGCAUGUAUGAUUAUUUGAAGAAAAUGAGCAUAGAGACGUAGAGAAAGGAGUCACUUAGAAGAGUGGAUAUCCGAGAUUGACAUUAGAUGAAUGACCAAGUCUUCGCGUGAGAGGCACCACAAAGGCAAGUGAGUUGGAAAGAAUGCAUAGCACAUAAUGGUUGUGAUGGCUAAGUUCGAGCUAUGGUUUAAUGUUGACAACCAAACUUGACGGUGCUCAAGGUAAGCAGAGCGUUUGGCAGAGGAUGAGACCAUGCAAGGAGGGAUGUGUUACUUGACGUUCGAAAGAGUUGUGCAAAGCUCACAAAAGUGAGGAAAAUUACUAACUCGAAGAAUUCAGUACUUAUGUAAAGGCUUAUAUGCGGACAAUGGACCGUCCGUGGUCAUCUUAACUAAGGUGAUUAAAACUUGAUUUCAUGGAGCAUUAAAACUUUAUUUUCUGCAUGGGAAGGAUAUAUCCGUAUGAGGCUAAAGUGUAUAGCAAAUUCAACAUGUUACUAGGCCUUGAGGGAUAUGAUGGGGGUUGUAUUAGCGAAGAGUUAUAAUUUAACAAGCGUGUUUACGAGGGCGAAACAUUGCAUAAUUUAUUCAGCUAGGUGGAGUAGUCCAAGUUGAUGGUGGUCUUUGAAACUUUCAGAGAGAAGGAUACAAGAAGAAAAGUUACUCCAAUUCGACAAAUAUCUAAGAGAGACAAGUCUUAAUUUUUUAGAGAGAGAACCAUGUGUAACGAACCACAUAUGUUGAUAAAGUGUACCUCGAGACAAUAGCCCAAUAAAGCUCAAUAAACCGAGCUAGCAAUAAAGAAUCGUUGCAUAAUCUCGUAUGAGGUGAUGUGUUAGUGGACGUGUUGCGAGAUCAAGUGGGGGAGUAAUUCAAGGUAAUACUGAAUGAAGAUACACUUAAAGUCGAUGUGAAGAUCGGAUUCAAUGGAGGACUGACUCAUGAAAUGGUAGGUGCGAGGGUCACCAUCAACUUAAUACCAAUAGAGUAGCAAAGCAACUUAGGUGGAACUUGGUGAAGUGCCUAAGUCGCAUGAAAAGAGUCAACAUAGAAGAUGGAACAUAGAGUAGAAGUUCGAAGCUUUUCCUGGAUAGAGGUCAAGAACAUAAACUUUUGCAGAGACAAGAGCGAGAUCAUAUUGUUCCAUGGGUCUCUCGUUCUAAUAGAGCAAACUCAUUUUGCAUGGUGUUAAAGUUGAAGGAAACUUCGAGGCACACGUACCUUAUCUUGAUGAAGCAAUUGACGAAGGGACAAAGGCAACUCAACUUAUGUGGACAAAGUUGGGACUAGAAGGCUUUGACAUGGGAUAAAAAGACAUGAAAAUAGAUACUUUGGAAGAAUUGUCAUUGUGCGUGUUGAAGAACUUUUGGUGUCUCGUGUGGCUAUCAAUUAUAUAGUUCUUUGUUAUGCUCAAAGGCCAUCUUCGAAUGUGAUGUUGGGGACGACCAGACUUGGUUCAUGCCCGAGAUGGGAGCAUGCUGAUCUGACCCCAAAAGCUAUUGUGGAUGAUUUGUCGAUGUGGAUCCGGGUAACCGCAGUAGAAUCACCGGUGACUCAUAGCAUAUGUUUCUUGGUGACAGAUGACUAUGCCUGUGUCGGACCAUCCAUAAAAAGAAAAAGAAAAAACACCUAAGAAAUUAUUUACACACAAUCAGUUUAUGCAUAAGCUAAAGAUUGAUGAUGGUUCAUCGCAUUUGAUAAUAUUAAAGCAAACAAAGAGUUGAUAGACUUCUGAGAAGCUCCAUUAUUUAUUUCUAUGAUAUAGGAAGUAUACUGUUUCUGAUGUUCCAUUUAUAUUCUAACUUCGUAUAUAGCAGUCUAUGAAUAGAAACUGUAGUCCUGGG
rnacentral:lncRNA from 1 species